AUAAGAAUCAAACCCAGUUCAAGUGAAAGCCACUAUAUUCUCAUUGGAAACAUUGAACAGAAAGAACUGUUCCCCAGUCAAGUGUUUUCAAGAACUUGUCAAGGUCAGAUUGACCGCGAAAGUUUUGAUUGAUAAUUUAAGAAGCUCAAGAAAAGACAAUGGUUAAUCGCAGAAUCUGAAAGCGAGAGAGAGAGAGAGAUGACGGA
rnacentral:misc_RNA from 1 species